GUUAAGAUGGCAGAGCCCGGUUAGUGCAAAAGAUCUAAGCCCUUUACACAGAGGUUCAAAUCCUCUUCUUAACU
rnacentral:tRNA from 1 species